rnacentral:lncRNA from 1 species
CGGCGGUCGGCCGAGCCAGGCUGGCGCCCCCGCCCCCCGCCCCGCUCCUCGGUCCGCCGCCCGCCGGGCGCCUUCCCCGCUCCACUUACCUUUGGUGCCCGGCCCUCUGGCCGCUCUCCUCCCGCCCUCGCGCCCCUUCGGCCCGUCCCGUCCAGCCCGGGCUGCCCGGCUCUCGCAGGCCCCCCCGCGCCGACCGCGUUCCUAUGGACAGACGCACAGACACCUGCAGAGACACAGUCGCACUCUGUCACCCACGCUGGAAUACAGUGGUGCAACCAUAGCUUACUGCCUCUUCAAACUCCUGGGCCCAAAGGAUCACAUCUCAACCUCCCAAGUAGCUGGGACUACAGGCACGUGCCAUCACACUUAGCUAAUUUUUCUUAUUUUUUGUAGCGAUGGGGUCUUGCGGUGUUGCCCAGGCUGGUCUUGAACUCCUGGACUCAAAUGAUCUUCCUGCCUUGGCCUCCCAAAGUGCUAGGAUUAUAGGUGUGAACCACCACGUCCAGCCAUAACUUUAAAAAAGUUUAAGAAGACGUUAAAACGUUGAAGCAAUAUUUAAAAACAUUAAAAAUCUUACC